GGAAUCUUGCGCAAUGGGCGAAAGCCUGACGCAGCAACGCCGCGUGCGGGAAGAAGGCCUUCGGGUCGUAAACCGCUUUCAGCAGGAACGAAAAUGACGGUACCUGCAGAAGAAGGUGCGGCCAACUACGUGCCAGCAGCCGCGGUGACACGUAGGCACCAAGCGUUGUCCGGAUUCAUUGGGCGUAAAGAGCUCGUAGGCGGUUCAGCGAGUCGGGUGUGAAAACUCUGGGCUUAACCCAGAGCCUGCAUCCGAAACUGCUGUGACUUGAGUUCGGUAGGGGAGCGGGGAAUUCCUGGUGUAGCGGUGAAAUGCGCAGAUAUCAGGAGGAACACCGGUGGCGAAGGCGCCGCUCUGGGCCGACACUGACGCUGAGGAGCGAAAGCAUGGGUAGCAAACAGGAUUAGAUACCCUGGUAGUCCAUGCCGUAAACGUUGGGCACUAGGUGUGGGUUUCAACUAACGAAAUCCGCGCCGUCGCUAACGCAUUAAGUGCCCCGCCUGGGGAGUACGGUCGCAAGACUAAAACUCAAAGGAAUUGACGG
rnacentral:rRNA from 1 species